AACGAACGCUGGCGGCAGGCCUAACACAUGCAAGUCGAGCGAGGACUUCGGUUCUAGCGGCGGACGGGUGAGUAACGCGUGGGAAUGUGCCCUUCUCUACGGAAUAGCCCUGGGAAACUGGGAGUAAUACCGUAUACGCCCUAUUGGGGAAAGAUUUAUCGGAGAAGGAUCAGCCCGCGUUGGAUUAGGUAGUUGGUGGGGUAAUGGCCUACCAAGCCGCCGAUCCAUAGCUGGUUUGAGAGGAUGAUCAGCCACACUGGGACUGAGACACGGCCCAGACUCCUACGGGAGGCAGCAGUGGGGAAUCUUAGACAAUGGGGGCAACCCUGAUCUAGCCAUGCCGCGUGAGUGAUGAAGGCCUUAGGGUUGUAAAGCUCUUUCAGCUGGGAAGAUAAUGACGGUACCAGCAGAAGAAGCCCCGGCUAACUCCGUG
rnacentral:rRNA from 1 species